UUGUUGGCGGGGUAACGGCCCACCAAGACAUCGAUGGAUAGGGGUUCUGAGAGGAAGGUCCCCCACAUUGGAACUGAGACACGGUCCAAACUCCUACGGGAGGCAGCAGUGAGGAAUAUUGGUCAAUGGACGAGAGUCUGAACCAGCCAAGUAGCGUGAAGGAUGACUGCCCUAUGGGUUGUAAACUUCUUUUAUAUGGGAAUAAAGUGAGCCACGUGUGGCUUUUUGUAUGUACCAUACGAAUAAGGAUCGGCUAACUCCGUGCCAGCAGCCGCGGUAAUACGGAGGAUCCGAGCGUUAUCCGGAUUUAUUGGGUUUAAAGGGAGCGUAGGCGGACUAUUAAGUCAGCUGUGAAAGUUUGCGGCUCAACCGUAAAAUUGCAGUUGAUACUGGUCGUCUUGAGUGCAACAGAGGUAGGCGGAAUUCGUGGUGUAGCGGUGAAAUGCUUAGAUAUCACGAAGAACUCCGAUUGCGA
rnacentral:rRNA from 1 species